UGCCAGCAGCCGCGGUAAUACAUAGGGGUCAAGCGUUGUCCGGAAUUACUGGGCGUAAAGCGUACGUAGGCGGAUUAAUAAGUUAGAGGUGAAAUCCCAGGGCUCAACCCUGGAACUGCCUUUAAAACUGUUAGUCUUGAGAUCGAGAGAGGUGAGUGGAAUUCCAAGUGUAGAGGUGAGAUUCGUAGAUAUUUGGAGGAACACCAGUGGCGAAGGCGGCUCACUGGCUCGAUACUGACGUUGAGGUACGAAAGUGUGGGGAGCAAACAGGAUUAGAUA
rnacentral:rRNA from 1 species